rnacentral:lncRNA from 1 species
UUCCCAAGUUCGCCCACUAAACUCAUUUGUUAGCUUCUAAAUUUUAAUUACAUUUAAGAACUUAUUUUUUUUAUCAUUUUAUUUUUAAACUUAAGUGUAUUAUUAGAAUUCUAUAACACCAAAUAAUUUUUUUUAAGCCUUCGAAUGGUCCAAAUGUAUACUAAUAGUAUUCUACAAUACCACUUUUUCUUAUAUAUUUUAUAUAAAUAAUAUUAUAAAAUAAUUAAUAUAUUAGUUAUUCAAGUAAGGCCGGGCUAAAUUGGGUUACAAAUUAAAUUUUCAAGUUCAAUUCAAUAUAUAAAUAAGUUUUAAAUAUGAACCCGCUUCAAUGAACGAAAAUAAUAACCCAAACCCUUAAAAAAGCGAGCUGGGUUGGACGGGCCAUUGGCCGGUGCCUACCCCUACAUGCAAUGUAGUAUGCGCGUUGGUGGAUAUAAGCCGGUCCUUAGCCUAACAAUUUUCUAUUGGGCCUCCGACCCAUCUUGCCAUUUGGCCGGGGGGACCUUCCUCUUUAAUUGCGCGGCAGUCCAAUUGGACUAAUAUUCAACUCCUAUUGGUUCAACCACGUCAACCCCGACCUCCCCACGCCCCGUCACCCCGACCACCAAAACGCGGCACAUUCAAUGCACGCAUUAUCACUUCCCCGUUUCCUAAUCGCUCAAACGGAAUUUACUUGACACGCGCCCUCUUUAAUCAACACAUCCGUCGCUACGUGCAUCACACUUGCGCCUGUCGUGCAUCGUCGUCCUGACCCCAACAAUUUGCCGGUGAGAACCCAAGACCGAUAGUGUCGCGUUUGGAUUCUCCAAAUCUGUGUGUUGAAAGAGAAAAUGGUAUUCGAAGUUGAGAGUUGUUUUUCCCAACCACCCUACACAAAAC